rnacentral:rRNA from 1 species
GAUGAACGCUAGCUACAGGCUUAACACAUGCAAGUCGAGGGGCAGCAUGGUCUUAGCUUGCUAAGGCCGAUGGCGACCGGCGCACGGGUGAGUAACACGUAUCCAACCUGCCGUCUACUCUUGGACAGCCUUCUGAAAGGAAGAUUAAUACAAGAUGGCAUCAUGAGUCCGCAUGUUCACAUGAUUAAAGGUAUUCCGGUAGACGAUGGGGAUGCGUUCCAUUAGAUAGUAGGCGGGGUAACGGCCCACCUAGUCUUCGAUGGAUAGGGGUUCUGAGAGGAAGGUCCCCCACAUUGGAACUGAGACACGGUCCAAACUCCUACGGGAGGCAGCAGUGAGGAAUAUUGGUCAAUGGGCGAGAGCCUGAACCAGCCAAGUAGCGUGAAGGAUGACUGCCCUAUGGGUUGUAAACUUCUUUUAUAAAGGAAUAAAGUCGGGUAUGGAUACCCGUUUGCAUGUACUUUAUGAAUAAGGAUCGGCUAACUCCGUGCCAGCAGCCGCGGUAAUACGGAGGAUCCGAGCGUUAUCCGGAUUUAUUGGGUUUAAAGGGAGCGUAGAUGGAUGUUUAAGUCAGUUGUGAAAGUUUGCGGCUCAACCGUAAAAUUGCAGUUGAUACUGGAUAUCUUGAGUGCAGUUGAGGCAGGCGGAAUUCGUGGUGUAGCGGUGAAAUGCUUAGAUAUCACGAAGAACUCCGAUUGCGAAGGCAGCCUGCUAAGCUGCAACUGACAUUGAGGCUCGAAAGUGUGGGUAUCAAACAGGAUUAGAUACCCUGGUAGUCCACACGGUAAACGAUGAAUACUCGCUGUUUGCGAUAUACGGCAAGCGGCCAAGCGAAAGCGUUAAGUAUUCCACCUGGGGAGUACGCCGGCAACGGUGAAACUCAAAGGAAUUGACGGGGGCCCGCACAAGCGGAGGAACAUGUGGUUUAAUUCGAUGAUACGCGAGGAACCUUACCCGGGCUUAAAUUGCAGAUGAAUUACGGUGAAAGCCGUAAGCCGCAAGGCAUCUGUGAAGGUGCUGCAUGGUUGUCGUCAGCUCGUGCCGUGAGGUGUCGGCUUAAGUGCCAUAACGAGCGCAACCCUUGUUGUCAGUUACUAACAGGUUCCGCUGAGGACUCUGACAAGACUGCCAUCGUAAGAUGUGAGGAAGGUGGGGAUGACGUCAAAUCAGCACGGCCCUUACGUCCGGGGCUACACACGUGUUACAAUGGGGGGUACAGAGGGCCGCUACCACGCGAGUGGAUGCCAAUCCCCAAAACCUCUCUCAGUUCGGACUGGAGUCUGCAACCCGACUCCACGAAGCUGGAUUCGCUAGUAAUCGCGCAUCAGCCACGGCGCGGUGAAUACGUUCCCGGGCCUUGUACACACCGCCCGUCAAGCCAUGGGAGCCGGGGGUACCUGAAGUGCGUAACCGCGAGGAGCGCCCUAGGGUAAAACUGGUGACUGGGGCUAAGUCGUAACAAGGUAGCCGU